AAAUUAAUCGUCAUAUUCUUUUCCUUUCCUUUCCAUUUUUUCCAAAUUUAUUUAAAUUAGGUAUAGAAUCGCACCAUACAGCGAUACAGCACGUAGCAAUGAAAACAAAUCCUCCAUUGGGACUUGCUGAUUAGUCACUGUCACGCAUGCGGUAUGUUGCCGUGUGGUUAACCUUUCACCAUCAUUUCGAUCUAUUUACAAAGCGCUAAGAUAAUUUGACAUAAUUGUCACUAGUGUUUAUCAGCGGUGAGCACAUGAUUUGACACGCAAUUAUUUAAGGACAAGUUUAUUUGAUGUCAAAGAAGAUAUUAUAUUAAAUUAUAAUCACGUGACGCACAAAUAACACUUACAGAACAAUCAAUUUUGCAAUUGAUAUUAACAUUCUUGCACUUUUGUCGUCUACGAGAAAAAAAUGUGGUUCUGUUAUUUACUCGUCGUUUUCGGCAUUCUCGAUCUCGCGAUGGCUUCCGAUCAUGGCUUCGAUUUCGGCGAUACUCUAGCCCUGAUCUUGGGAUUAACCAUCGCGAUUGUCGGAUUCUUCGCCUGCAUGGGAGCUUAUGCGAGAAGGCGGGGUCACUUUGAAUCCUUGUGAAGCUUUGCAAUCUUUUUAAAAUAUAUCCAAUAUAUAACGAUAAAAUCUGAUCUAUCAAGAAAGAUGACUGAUAGGCUGAAAGAAAUAAUUUGAGGUUUUUUAUGUAUAACAUUUGUUUUCUAUGAAAAACAUUUAUAAAAGAACAAUAUUCACACAAUACAUUAUAAUGUACUAAGUUUGUAUAUGAUAGCUAACAUGUAUAUAUAUAUAUAUAUAUAUAUAUAUAUAUAUAUUUGUUACAUAAUAAAAAAUACGAUAAUAAAUUUUUUAUUAUUAUUCUAAUAUUAGUUAAAUGAGAUUACAGUAGAAGACAAUUCAUUUAUAUUGUAUGUUUAUUUAUUUCUCUUCCUUAAGAUUUAUUGUAAUAAUUUUUACAUUUAACGCCUUCUGAUGAAAGGUCAAUAGUUUUUACCUGUUUUACAAUAUUGUAUGAGGGGUACAGAGAUAUAUUAUUAAAAUUCUUUAAUGACAUUUAAUAAUUAAAAUUUAUAUCUUCAAAUUUCUUUAAAAAUAACAAAUUUACCAAAAAUAUUAAUACUCAAUACAAUUAAAUUUUUUUCAAUUAUUUUAAUGUAUGUUAAAUUAUGAUUAUCCCCUAUAAUUUGUUUCUUUGUGUUUGUGGUAUCACUUAACUAUCAUAUUCUCUGAAAUCUGAUCUUUUGCAAUACAUUUCUGCAAGUAAACACUCCCAAUACAAUUGAAUUUUUUUCAAUUAUUUUAAUGUGUUGAAUUAUAAUUAUCGUCUAUAAUUUGUCUCUUUGUGUGUUGUGAUAUCACUUAACCAUCAUACUCUGUUUUAAAUCUGACUUUUUGUUUUUUGCAAUACAAUUCUGCAACAUUCUUCUUAAUUUUAUACAUAUAUGUAUAAUAAAAUAUGCAUUAGUCCCAGCAAGAAGAAUAAUUAAUGCAAUGCAGAAAGGAACCACAUUGAUGGCUGAAAGGAGAUCCAAUAGACAUUUGAUCUUCAUAGAAAAAUCAAGUCCUGGACUUAGGAAUGAAUCACAUCGGCUGUUGAAGAAAAUCCUAGUGAACAAGAUAUUUGAAUAAGUACUUAAAACAAAAAAGCUCAAGCAAAAUGCGAGAAGAAAUCCUGAUAAUUUGAUAUUUUUGCAAAUAAAGAUGACUCACAAAAUUUGGUCAAAGGUUGAAUAAAUUUUUAUAAAUAAAAUUGUUAGGUAAAUACUUGCUAUCUAUCCAUUAGAUGUCAACAGGAAUAGUAAUAAGCGGUCAUUUCUCAUAUCAAAUUACACGACUAAAAUUUUCUAGACAUUAUAUGUAACAUCGAUAUUCAAAAAGGGAAAAGAUGCAUAACUUUGAAUGAGUGCCAAAGAAAUUUCAAUGUAAUUUAAAGAUACGAUUUUUAUAUCCUAAUGUCUACUAAAUUCAUACUUUAUUUAAUGAUGACUAUUACGGGCACCUAUAUAUUUCGCAUAUAAAGAAAUAAUAUAAUCUCAAGUCCAUGUAACAUACAAGUGUAACAUUUAAAACGUGACAAACCAUUUCUAAAGUUAAUAGUAAAAAAGUGUUCCAGUUAAAAGUUGUAUAAUCAAAACGGGAAUAAGUAAUGAUGAAAUAAAUGAUAGGUAAUAAAAUUGGCCGAGUCCCGAAAGAAUAAAAACGAACGUUCCCAAAUAAAUAAAAACGAUAUGUUCUUUUGUAGUUUUUGAGUUGUCCAAUCUGAUUUUUAUCUUCAAAAAAAUUAGUUGGAAAAGUAUGUAUUAAAAUCAGAGUAUAUAAAAUUAUUAAAUAUACAAGAUGUCAAACAUAGGCAAUAUUCCUUAAGAUAGAUAGAACAUUAAACUGAGUUGAAAGUCCAUUUUACAAUCUUUGCAAUAAUUAACAAAUUUUAUGUGUUUUAUAUAUAGUUUGUGUGUGUGUGUGUGUGUGUGUGUGUAUGUGUAAUAUAUAUAAUAUUAAUUUAUAAAGAUAGUCAAAUUUGAUUGGCCUAUCGCCAAAUGAAAAUGCGCAGUGGGAUAUGAUCACUUAGCAGUCAUCGUUGUUAGGCACAGAAAAUGUUUGGAGGUGUAUUUUAUGCAAACGACAUAACCGCAUAAAUUACGCCUUACUUCUGCGUAUAUAUCUCACAGAUAACAACUAAGUAGACACCCUGUAUAAGAAACCAAUUAUAAAAACAAAUUAUGAGAAUUAUGUAAAUUAAUUUUAGACUUUUUAUAAUAGCUUAUAUGAGAAGCUGUCAUGUAAAAGUAUAAAAUUAUAGUAAAAUGAACAUAAAUAAGUAUUGAGUAAAAAUUAAUAUGUGAACAUGAAUUAAUGGAGGAGGCCUUAUUCAGUCAAAGCAGAUUUUGGUGAUUAAAAACAUUUUUUACGUACAUCUUACAAUUUUUAGUUAUAAUAAAAUACUACAAUAGAAUAGAAUACAAAAUACUCUGCGGAAAAUGUUCUGAAAGAUGUAAACAGCAAUACUCUGAAGUAUAGUCAAAAUUUGAAACAGUUUCCAUCGAUAAUGCCUUUGUCUUUAAAUAUUAAUGAUCACUCUUUUUUUUUUUUUUUUUUUCCCCAAAUAGACCAUUACAGAAUUAUUAGCAAAUGAAAGCAUUAUCAUGUUUUACUAGCAAGCAUAGGCAUAUCCAAGAUUUGUUUCAGGGAGGGAGAAAGAUUAUCAAUUCUAUAUGAAGUAAUUUUUUGUGAUUCUUCUUUAGUCCAUAAUCUUUUAUCAGAAGCAAUAAUCUCUCAGUGUACUCUUAUGGUGUGCGCACUUUUACAAUUAUACAGAUAUAUGAAAUUUACGGUAUUUUUUAAUUUCGAAUGGCUUAAUUAGGGGCGUUUAUGAUAAAAUACUCUCGGUUGUUUGUUCUUGCUCUCGGGAAAAAUAGCAAUCGAAUAAAAACCAGAGCCAUAACCAGAAUCACAAUUUUUUGUACGAGAUUAUCUUUUUUUUUUUAAGAUAUUUUUGAUUUAAAAUAUCUCCUAGUUUCCGAUUUUGAAUGAGAAAAGUAUUAGGUAAGAGAUAUAGUGUUAUUUGUCAUGUAAGCAAAAUCUUGUCGCUUUCAUUUGAUUGCAUAGCGCAUAUCCAUUCUAUUUUUCAAAGCAAAAACCUUGUAAAAAUUUUCUUUAUAAUCGGAUACCAAAGCUCUAAUGGAAAUUCCUUAUGUGGGAAUUAUUUACAUGAUCGUAAUGGGAGGAAAAAUAUGUAAUAAAAAAAUUAACAAUUAUAAAGUCAAAAGUGGUAUUUUAUUUAAAAUGAAAAAAUAAAUUAAAAAUCCGGAGAGGUUUGGACUCCCAAUCCCUCCCUGGAUACGCCGAUGCUAACAGAAAAACGAAUUUCUACAUUCAGCAGAAAACGUAAUUUUACAAGUGUGUAAAAUUAUUUUAUACGAUUGAUUUAUACAUUUAGAUCUGACAGGAACUAAGAACAAAAACCAAUCAUAUUGAAGAAUCUUACAACAGUUGCAAAGUUUUUUUUCUGUUGAAUGCAACCAAUGCAUUCGUAAAGCUCAACAAUAACAAGUUUACAGUACCAGAUGUUUAAUUAGCUAGCAUAUGUUAAUUUUUAUAUUUU